GACCAUUUUCAAUUCACCAAUAUAUUGCUGAAUGCAGAAUACAAAAAAGUUGCAUAGCACACACUAUACAUAAAGCCUCAAGAGCAAAGCUAAACCUGGAAUACAUAAAAAAUGAAUAGGAAUGAUGAGUAUUUAUUAAGCCUUAAAAAUAUAAUUCAUUAAUUUUAAGUUUAUAUAACUGAUUUUUUAAAGGAUGCACUUAACAGUCAGUACUUGAAAUUUCUAGAAAUAUAAUAAUUGAUUUUGUUAAGACAGUGCUAGGUAUCUACAGAUCAUUGUUUGUUCUUUUUUCUCUUUCUUUCCCAUGAUAGCCAUGUUAUCCCCCCAAAGCAUGAUUAGCAUCCUGGCUGGAUCAAGGUCAAACCACAACAUAUAAAAAUGUAUACUUUCAGGCAAAAGAUUGCGUCUGUUUUUCCAUUCUAAUUGCCAUGAGUAUGAUCAUUUUGAUAGAAAGGAAAUUAGAAGUAUAUACAUGACUGCAUAAUUAUCUUCAUAAUAUAAGCUGGGCAAAACAAAGCCUACCUCCAACCCACUCUUAUCUAUAAAUGUUGCUGAUGUUGGAACUUAGUAUCAUCUUUAAUGUUUUGAUUCUGUGUAGAAUCAUGGAAACUCAAAUUAAGUUUCAGAAAAAUGAUGGAAAUUAGCAUGUUAAGUGAUCUUCAACUCACUGUACGUAUUCUUCCUAAGCAGUGUGCAGAGUGCAGGAUUAUGCAUCUAAAAUGUGCUUAUUGACAGAUAAAAUAGAGACAGCUUAUACCUCCCACAAGAAAGCUUUGCAUGAAUGAGAGCAGGUGUAUGUCACAUUCCAGAAUUCAGAUGAUGCUAAUGUGCCUUCUAAAUUCAUUUGGCUUACAAUGUCUCCUCAGAUUGCACACAAGUGUAAGUAAAUGUUUUCUUCUGUUUUGAUUUGAAUACUUUCAUAAUCUAUUUAUAUUUAUGGCUAUAAAGUGAUGAAUGGUCAUGAAAAUUGCUAGGUUUAGAAUAAUGAAUGUAUAUAUUGUGCCACGCAAUAAUUUAGAAUAGGUACAAUAUCUAUAAAUGAUUUAAUUUAUGCAAAGGCAUAUACAAACUUAAAAAUACUUAGCAACAUCAAUAUAGAAAAGAGCCUGGUUUAACAUUUAU
rnacentral:lncRNA from 1 species